rnacentral:misc_RNA from 1 species
UUUGUGUGUACCAAGCAACGGAUCAUGUCUAUAGCUUUUGCGGUUUCGCCGGGUUCAGUCAACAGAACGCAGCUGCGGAUGCGUGUGGACCCUCAGCGACAGGUUCAACUGAGGCCGCAACUCGUUUCAUGGCGCACAGGCGCUCGGCCAGCUCGCUGGAGCAUGACCAACAAGUCGAGCCCGCUGGGAAACGCUCCUGUGCCGGAACCGGAGAAUCGACUCCCAUCGGUUUCGGCUACAAAACGUCCAGAGCAACCACGCCCCAAGGAAGAACAAACCUGGUACGGACUGCUCGCGUUUGUACUGAUUAUGGUGCUUUUCCUUGGAGGUCUGGGAAUCACCAUAGCGCGGAGCUUUUUUUAGAGUAGCGGGUGAACUAGGAAUCAGCGCCACGGAACUCAAAUGUGCUUGCACUGGGGUAAAGUAGCUCGUAAGAGCGGGCGGUUGCCGGACAAGCAGCUCGCUGCCACUUGAAGCGCUGGCCUCUGACUCCUCGAACGUCGGACUCAACAUGGACCAGGUUCUCUGACUCACGCCCACACGUUGUAGUCUGGGGCGCUUUUCACGGUGAUGAACACUGGUCGUUUGUGGGUUUUUUGCGACUGUUCCCCUUUCUUCUCAGUGGUCCCCAGCUUUACGUCCGUGGGUCUGCCGGCUCCCUCAAGAGCUGUUGUGAGCAGUCGAAGUUUGUUGAUGGCAGCGUUCAAUUCUGGCUUUCGCGGCUUCCAGCUGUUGCCGUAUUAUUUCGUACACGUACAAAACUUGCAGUAUACGCUUUGCUUGCCAUUUGUGUCUUUUUUGCAUACAUCUUGUGUGCGCCCACUUCGCAGCAAUGACACUCGACCGUGGUCAGGCGUUCGACCAUAUCCUCUGCUCAUUCGCCUGCGAGAUCCGUCCUUUGGAGCGUGACAGCCUGCUCCAUCGCUCGGUACAUGCACUUGACGGGUACCAAAAGCGCCACUCCAUGUUCAUUUUCGUUUUCGUGCCUGGUACCGCACCGAAUGAUCACGGGCCUCUUCUGCGCGAUCCGCUCGCUCGCGUUCUCUAUCUGCUGCACAAACGAGCGAACGCUUUCCCAUUGGACACAGGGUUUGAGGAGCGCGAUCUCGCCCUUGAUGACAUAAAUACCCAACAGAAAAUACAUUCCGGAGAACAAGUCGAGAGAUUUCGAUCGGUCGAUACUACCUGCAUACAACGCGGUAACGCCUGUUCCACUGGAAGCGGUCGCUGCGAUCACUCAGCUUCGAGUCCAUGAUUCUUUCCCGUGCAAACAGAAGAGACGCAGAUGCGCUGAGAACGCUUUCCAUGAGAGAUAUCAUAUUGGAGCUGAUUACCGUUUCGUCGAUGACACAGAGGGGGAUUUGUUUCGAAUGAAAUCGAUUAUUUGACGCGGAAAGGUAGGUAUCGGCAUGAGUGUGCGAACUGGUUGUCAAAGUAUGAUGUCGAAUUUUUCGUCGUCAAUCCAGUGGCGCGAGUAGCUGGGCUUACGAAUAGCCGGGUGACAAAAAAAUCGAAGUUUUGAAGAACGCAUGAUUUGAGCAUCCCACAGUUAUGAAAUGAGAAAAUUGGCGGCUUGUGCGUAUGCAUUGGAUCACGAAAUCGGUCAUUUUACGGAACCAGGUUCGAGGGCGUCGCGAAUCGUCCUGAUUCCGGUGUAGUCACGAAAUCUAGCGCCAAAGCGUCGCAGGAGAUACUCCAGAACGACAAUCGAGCGCCUUGAAACUUCGCAUGCGUCCGUAAGCCCUCAUCGCUGCGCUUAGAAUGUCGAGGUUGAACAUCUAAAACAACACUCAAAAGUAAAUCGAAAGCAAGGAACAGCAUGCACA